CCUACGGGUGGCAGCAGUGGGGAAUAUUGCACAAUGGGGGAAACCCUGAUGCAGCGACGCCACGUGAGUGAAGAAGUAUUUCGGUAUGUAAAGCUCUAUCAGCAGGGAAGAAGAAAGACGGUACCUGACUAAGAAGCCCCGGCUAACUACGUGCCAGCAGCCGCGGUAAUACGUAGGGGGCAAGCGUUCUCCGGAUUUACUGGGUGUAAAGGGAGCGUAGACGGCUGUGCAAGUCUGAAGUGAAAGCCCAGGGCUCAACCCUGGGACUGCUUUGGAAACUGUGGAGCUAGAGUGCUGGAGAGGUAAGUGGAAUUCCUAGUGUAGCGGUGAAAUGCUUAGAUAUCACGAAGAACCCCGAUUGCGAAGGCAGCCUGCCGCAGCGUUUCUGACGCUGAAGCUCGAAAGCGCGGGUAUCGAACAGGAUUAGAUACCCGAGUAGUC
rnacentral:rRNA from 1 species